GGCGACAAGCUGCAGCGCAGGUUAGCGGCGGAGCCACCAAUAUGGCAAGGUACGGCGAUCGUAAAACCUGCCCGGCCGGUGACUCACAAGCUAAUUUCUAGUAUAUUUAUAUAUGUAUUUGAUGAUUAUAUCUAUGUUAUUUGAUAAUUAUAAUAUAUUAUAAUUUUUUAUAGUAUGCAUGUGUUUUAAUAUAAAUCAGUAGCAGGCUCGCUAUAGGUUGAUUUUGGUCCUCGCUCCGCCGGUGGCGCACGGGGCAGCUGCGCAGGCGCAGCGGACGACGGAGGCAGCGGAAUGCGUGAUCGCCGGCGAGGUAAGGCUGUCUCCAGCAGCGUUCUGUAAAGCGUUCUGUACUCUAUAUAUAGAGGAAGAUUCCGUUCUCUAUUGCUCCAGCAGCGUUAUCUAAAUGGUCCUCUAAAUUAGAGAACGCUACAGGUUUCCUAUAUAUAGAGAUUCUCUCUCCUCUUCUCUAUUUUUUCUUUACGUUUCAAACACUGAAUUAAAUAAAAAUAAAAUAUGUCUAUAGCGUUUGAGGUAUGA
rnacentral:lncRNA from 1 species